CUCUCUUAUUUGCAUGGUGAUUUUCUACAUACAAAUGAUACUCUUAUUUGCAUGGUGAAGUUCUACAUAUAAAUGAUACUCUUAUUUGCAUGGUGAAGUUCUACAUAUAAAUUAUACUCUUAUUUGCAUGGUGAAGUUCUACAUACGAUGAAACUUCUACAUACAAAUGAGGAGUUCUACAUACAAAUAACGCUGCAUGGCAAAUGAUAAGCUUUGUUAGUUUUACAAUGACACUCAUAUAUAUUUGCAUUGACUUGAAACCACUCCCUUUUUCAUCUAUAAGGAAGGGCUCGGAUGAAAAAGGGAAGGUUGGAAUACAAUUAGAACAAACCACUAUAACUACAUAAUGUGUGGGUGUUUAUUCAGCUUUGAUCCCAGACCGUCAGAAAAUGUAUUUUAUACUCGAGGCUAUAUAGCAACAGAAAUAGUACAUGCGUGAGUAGGACGUUAACAAUAACAUUGUGGGAGCGUGACAUUCUUCACGCAUGCCCCUAUAGGACAACUGUAAAUUUAUUGAAGGAGGACACAAUUAACAUUAUAGUAUAGACGGACAUUUUAAUUAACAUAUCAACUACGUGUUGGACACGCCCGCUCAUGUGGCAAUCUUUUUUGGUCACUAAGUGGGCGUGUCCAAUAAUGGAGUUAAAAAAAUUACUCUCUCCCCUGAGCCUUUUCUUAGGUGAAAAGGGGAGUAGUUUCCAGUUUAGCAAAUUAACUAUGCAAAUGCGAGAGUAUCAUUUGUAUGUAGAGCUUCACCAUGCAAAUGAGAGUAUCAUUUGUAUGUAGAACUUCACCAUGUAAAUGAGAGUAUCAUUUGUAUGAUUGUAGAACUUCACCAUGCAGAUGAGAGUAUCAUUUGUAUGUAGAACUUCCCCAUGCAAAUGAGAGUAUCAUUUGUAUGUAGAACUUCCCCAUGCAAAUGAGAGUAUCAUUUGUAUGUAGAACUUCACCAUGCAAAUAAGAGAGAGCGCGUCAUUUGUAUGUAGAACUUCACUAUGCAAAUGAUUUUAGUACUAAAUAAACAGAGCUGGAGGUUUUGGCACUGAUCACCCCCCAUAACCUAUGUCGUACCUCCUCUGUAAACUGGCCAUUAAAGACAGAAGGUUAGCCGAGGUCAGAGUUUACAAAUUUCAUUAAAGAUGGGCGUGGUGUUAUCAUUUUUCUGCCAAGAAGCUGAGCAGUUAUUGAGUAUUUAUGAUUCUCUAGUACCUAGAGGUAUUGUAGCCUCGAUCCCAGGCUGCAUGCACUUUUCUCAAGGCCUAUGAGGAGGCUAGGAGUAUUGUAGCCAUGCUUACGUAGGUAUCCACUUAAUACCGUAAUUGAUGUAAUUACAGCGCCACCAUAAUUUAAGCGCCACGUCAGCAUCAGCAUAAUUUUUUAGGACCUAAAAAAGCGCCAACCAUUGCUGGAAUUAUUUCUUUCUGGCGCUUAUAAAAAGGUUUGUUUUGAGACAUCAAGACAAUCAUCCUGCAUCUUUGACGUCCUUCACUUCUAAACAGUUGUCUAACCCAUAGCUACAGUCAAUGAAUGUUGUUCACGAGCGUAACGGUGCAGCUAGCAAGUGAAACUGAGCUAGACCACGCCCAUUUUCUCUAUACUAGCUGUUGAACAUAAACGCCACCAUAAUUUAGGCGCCAGCUUGGGCUGAACGCAAUUUUUUGUGUUGUAAAGAUGCGCCACUCAGAAGUGGAAUUAAUUUUUUCUGGCGCUGUAAUUACAUCAAUUACGGUAUUGUUGACAGGAUUGUCUUCUUUCAAAUCAGAUGCAGAGGCACGUACAUACCCUUGGCUCAAUUGAGAAACUGAUGGUGGAGUCAGUGGAUCCCGUCGGACAUUAAUUAAACCCCCUCAUCGACAGUUCACUGUUUCUAUCACCACACCCUGCAUGUUUAUCAUUAAUGUUAUAAAUUA